rnacentral:rRNA from 1 species
AGUGAACGCUGGCGGUAGGCCUGACACAUGCAAGUCGAACGGCAGCACAGUAAGAGCUUGCUCUUACGGGUGGCGAGUGUCGGACGGGUGAGGAAUACAUCGGAAUCUACUUUUUCGUGGGGGAUAACGUAGGGAAACUUACGCUAAUACCGCAUACGACCUACGGGUGAAAGCAGGGGAUCUUCGGACCUUGCGCGAUUGAAUGAGCCGAUGUCGGAUUAGCUAGUUGGCGGGGUAAAGGCCCACCAAGGCGACGAUCCGUAGCUGGUCUGAGAGGAUGAUCAGCCACACUGGAACUGAGACACGGUCCAGACUCCUACGGGAGGCAGCAGUGGGGAAUAUUGGACAAUGGGCGCAAGCCUGAUCCAGCCAUACCGCGUGGGUGAAGAAGGCCUUCGGGUUGUAAAGCCAUUUUGUUGGGAAAGAAAAGCAGUAGGUUAAUACCCCGCUGUUCUGACGGUACCCAAAGAAUAAGCACCGGCUAACUUCGUG